UCCACCCCUAGCGUUCGCGUCCCGAAAAGAAACACAAACGAAAUCUCACGCCGGCGCUGCGCCGCCGCCGCCGCCGCUUGCUCCAGAUGUCCUGCUUGCGUCGCCGCCGUGCCUGGCGCCGCCGCCAUGCGUGCCCUUGCCGAGGUCACUUAACAGGGGUUUGCUGAGCGGAGAAGAGAUCCAACGCAAAGGAGACGCCGCCGUGCAGGAAGCUCUCCUCCACCCGGCCCGCUCGCGUCGUUGCCUUCGGGUUCAGGCCAAACCGCACGGCGUCGGUGAUGGCCGCCUCUGCUCCCCAAAGGCGACGGCCUCUUCUAGGCGGCUACACCACUCCGUCCUCUGCCAGGUCGCCGCCGCCAGGGACGUGGACGCACACGGGGCGGCCGGCCGCCAGCGAACGAUGACGCGCGUGCGAGUGUGCGGCGCGGACCAUGGAUCUCCUCCCUGCCGCUGCCGAGUUACCUGCUCCUAGCGAUGCCCUCUUGUCUCAUCCAUACAGGUUGCCACGGGGAAGAGGUGUGGUGGCGGCCAAGACGAGAACAAUGGGACACUGGAGUCCCUUGGAUGUCCGUGUUUAUGACAGAGCUUCAGCAGGUUUGUUAGGCUAAUAGGAUGGUAGGGAGCUUUGCUACAUAAUAAUACACAAAUGAUACUGGAGGAUGUUUUGCAAUUAGCAAGUUUCAAGGUCACAUGGAUGAUGAUAGCUCUCAGGUGUAUGUGAUAUUUGUUGUUGGGUAUUGUUGCCGUUUCUUCCUAUUGUGUCAAUGUAUAUUACUUCAGUUUCCGUAUUGAGAUUGAUAUGGAACUGUCUCAUCUUCCAGUGUGAACAUUAUAUACUUUCUCUCUCCAAAUCGCAUGAACAUUCCUGUAAAAACAGUGGCCACUUGCAUCACCAGGCUAAAUUAUGUAAGCAUAGUGCAGUUUUCUCUUCUCGUUACAUACACUUAUUGUAAUAAAAGUAGCCAUUUGCAUCAGUGGAGUAAUAAGGCAUAAUUGAUAAUGCAUAGACUUGCAUUUCAGACGAAAUAGGUACUUUUUGGCAUCUCCAUUAUUAGUCUCAAAACACUACUUUUCAUACUCUUCUACAUCUGAAGUAUUUAUGACUAUCAUGCUGAAGACAAAUCUUUUCUAAUAAAUAAACAAGAUCAAUGAAUUAUUGAUCUUAUCUUGGACUAUUAUUUGUAUUUAAAAUUUUAAAUCUUCUGCGGACUCUCACAAGAAUCAACUGUGGUAGACACCUCCUGGUAUCAGUGUGUGACUUGUCCCACUCGACAGGGUUUGUUGCGGCUCAACACGUCCUGACGCCACUGUGUGAUUCAUCAGUUUGCUGUCUCCAUCAUCCUGUGAGAGUUUACUAGAGACUUAUGUGUUCAUUUCCCUCUCCAUGGAUAUUUCAAAUGACACAAUGCGAUCUGCUCCUCUUCUGCAAACUGGUCACCAACCCCUAGGUGGUGAUUCAUUUUUAGGAAUUACGGUGUUGUUAAUAGUCUAUAGAUCAAAAGUACAUAAGGCAUCCUGAAUGUUGCGUCCUUUCUG